rnacentral:tRNA from 1 species
GGGGUUGUGGCUCAGUGGUAGAGCGCUCACCUAGCAUAUGUGAGGCCCUGGGUUCGAUCCCCAGCACCA